rnacentral:tRNA from 1 species
CGGGGCGUGGCGCAGUCCGGUAGCGUGCUUGAAUGGGGUUCAAGAGGUCGACGGUUCAAAUCCGUCCGCCCCGAC